rnacentral:rRNA from 1 species
GUAGGAAGCGAGCGUUAUCCGGAUUUACUGGGCGUAAAGCGUGUGUAGGCGGUUUGAUAAGUUGGAUGUGAAAGCUCCUGGCUUAACUGGGAGAGGUCGUUCAAAACUGUCAGACUCGAGAGUGGUAGAGGGAGGUGGAAUUCCGGGUGUAGUGGUGAAAUGCGUAGAUAUCCGGAGGAACACCAGUGGCGAAAGCGGCCUCCUGGCCCAUUUCUGACGCUCAGACACGAAAGCUAAGGUAGCAAACGGGAUUAGAGACCCCGGUAGUCAUAGCUGUAAACGAUGUGAACUUAGUGUCGGUGGGUUUAAAUCCAUCGGUACUGAAGCAAACGCGAUAAGUUCACCGCCUGGGGACUACGGCCGCAAGGUUA